rnacentral:lncRNA from 1 species
CACACACUGGCUUUUAUGCAAGUCCCCAUGCAAGGGGACAUCCCACAGGGUGGGACCCAGUAUAACCAAUCACAGACAAUACAAACAAAACACUCCCACAGUGACAUCACAAUCCCUCCUCUCUAUCCUGGAGAUAAUUGGGAAGUAAUUAAAUUAUCUCCCAGGACAGAGGCAAGACUCCAUUAACCACAUGGUUACAAAAAGACAUAAAAUUACACGUUACAAUUACUAUAUAAAACAUAUACAUGCAACAUAUCCCCAGAUAGCUUAGAUUUGAGUGCACAUUAGUAUUGAAUGGCGCUCAGAUCACAUACAUACAAUUCAAUCGCCAUGGAGCCAAAGUCUUUUCCAUAGUCUUUUGUUACACAAAUAGGCUCCAUGGCAUAGCUAUCUGGGAUAGCACUACUACCAUCCUGAAAGACCAGAACGCCCCAGCAGAAAUACACAAAUAAACCUUUCUGCAGGGGAAAAUACCGCUAUCAGCACAUGGGCCAUAGUCGGAAGGCAGGAGGCUAGCCAGUAGUCCCCUCCAGGCACAAGUGGCGAAGGGCACUUCGUCACACAACCCAUCUCCCAACAGUGCACGAGGCUGCUCUACCUGACCCUGACUACACUCUGUUUGUGGAUGGUUCUAGAUUUGCAGAUGUGCAGGGACAAUAUCAUACCGGAUAUGCAUUCACCACAGAGGACCAAAUACUCCAAGCAUCUUCUCCCAUCAUCUAAGUCAGCACAAGAAGCCGAACUAAUAGCCCUUACGGUGGCACGCAAGAUGUCUGAAGGGAAGCGUGUUAAUAUUUAUACAGAUUCAAGGUAUGCCCUGGGCGUGGCACAUGACUUUGGCUUAAUCUGGAAAACCAGGGGGGUUCCUUACAGCAACAGGUACUCCUGUGAAACAUGGCGCAGCUAUCAAAGACUUGAUGGAUGCCUUACUACUUCCUGAAGAGGUGGCCAUACUGAAGGUAAUGGCCCACGGGAGACUGAAUUCAGAAGAAGCACAUUUAGCUGACCAGGCUGCUAAGGAUGCGGCACGCCAGUGUCGGGAAAUAAACAGAAGAGUGUCUGUCGAAGAGACUCCUAUUUACACUAUGCAAACCCUACCCACUGAUCUCAAGCUCCUAAGAGAACAACAGGCCGCCGUCACCCCACAAGAAAAACAAAACUGGAAAGACAAAGGAGCAACCCUCCAGAAUGAAGUAUACACGAUCAACCUCAAAUUCUGUCUACCCAAGAAUAUGUAUCCAGCUGUCGUUCAGUGGGCCCAUGGACCAGCUCAUUUAUCUAAGCACCUCAUGAACUCUUUGAUUGAUAAAUAUUUUGAAGCACCCGGAAUCACCACCAUGACACGAAAUUACUGCAGAUCCUGUACCAUCUGCGCCAGAUGUAAUCCAGGGAAAAUAAUUAAUUAAAGCGGCACCAAACCAUUUGGCCAAACCACAGUACCCUUGCCAGAGGAUUCAAAUUGAUCAUAUCCAAAUGCCAAAGAGUGGCCGGUAUGAAUACGCACUGGUCAUAGUGGAUAUGUUUUCAGGAUGGCCAGAAGCUUUUCCGGUCGCUAAUCUCACUGCAAAGACCACGGCGAAGCGUCUACUUACCAAAAUUAUCUGCAGAUACGGAGUUCCUGAAGUAAUUGAAAGUGACCAGGGUACAUCCUUCACUGUGUUGCACUGGGGGUGACCCUUGCAUUCCACACACCCUAUCACCCACAGAGUAGUGGUAAGGUAGAACGCAUGAAUGGCACUCUGAAAGCCAGAAUGCUUAAAAUGUCCCAAGAAACUAACCUACCCUGGCCGGAGAGUCUUCCCAUAGCAUUGUUUAGUGUAAGGUACACCCCAAGAGGGAGUUUUAGCUUAUCCCCCUACGAAAUCUUAUUUGGAACAGCACCCAGGUUAGGCUGUUAUUUCCCUCAGCAACUUCAAAUUCAGUCAGAUGCAAUGGUAGAUUAUAUAACUCAACUCUCUCAUGCCUUGACCAAAAUCCAUUCACAGGUGUUUUCUUCUAUUCCAGAUCCAGAGUCAAAUACAGGCACACAUAAGCUACUUCCUGGUGACUGGGUCAUGGUCAAGAAGUUCCUAAGAAAACACACCUUAGAGCCAAAGUUCAAUGGUCCAUUCCCAGUCCUAUUGACUACAUCUACCUCUGUAAAGUUGGUCGGGAAGAAUACCUGGAUACACGCCUCGCACUGCAAGAAAGUUCCUGAUCCAGAGGAAGCAGAUUCCGCCAAAUCAUGAGCUUCCUGUGCCUGUUUCUGCUGCUAGGCCUAUCAAAGGCCCAACGAGUUGCUAUCACCAAAGACAAUCAUGUUUACACAUUUUGGUAUAAUUCUUCAAACACACACGUAGCUACUUUCGCCUUUGAUUACUGUGAUAUUGUCUCUUGUACUUUUCCACAAUCACAACACUCAGCAAUAUACAAAGACAUACCAAACAAAAAGUACCCAUAUAUUUGUGUGACAGGUGACCAUUGGGGACAUCACUGUAGUACCUGGAAAGCAGCAGGUUGGAAUACGGGCCGACCAUGGGGCUACAGACCACAAAGUGCCUUAGAUAGGGUUGACAGAUACGGGAAACCCUUGUUAUAAAGAAUGACCUUAUGCAAGCCAACAGGGUCUACCCCAAUGAAGCUCACCUUAAACAUAGAACAUCCCAGCCCAGGAGACGCUGGGGAGUACGUAAUGGGAAUGUAUUGGAAAAGGGGUGGCUCAUAUAACAAGUUGGGAACCUUCUUGUGAGGAACUGACUCUGCUGGGUUUCGAACCCCGGUUUACAUGGUGCUAAACCUCUUCCUUACCAGUACACCAGCCUGCCUUUUGGAAAUUUACCUGAGGUCUGAUACCAUUGCUUGUAGAGUCAAGGUUAUCAGUGACAACUCUCUUCAGCUGUGUCUGGUCAGGUGUCUGGUUCUUGGCCUAUAAAAGCCACUUCCUGUCUCUGUACCUUUGCCAGAUUAUUGUGGUUCCUGUACUCUCUAAUCCAGCGUGUUCCUGUUUCUCCUUCCUGUUGCUGAAUUUGGAUUGUUUUGACUUUGCUGCUUCUCCUUCCCACUGACCUCGGCUUGCCUCACUACGAUUAUCAUCUUUCUGUUCCAGUCUCCCAUCUCUGCUUAAGACCAGAAGGCCACUCAAG